AUUGAACGCUGGCGGCAGGCCUAACACAUGCAAGUCGAGCGGCAGCGGGAAAGUAGCUUGCUACUUUUGCCGGCGAGCGGCGGACGGGUGAGUAAUGCCUGGGAAAUUGCCCAGUCGAGGGGGAUAACAGUUGGAAACGACUGCUAAUACCGCAUACGCCCUACGGGGAAAGCAGGGGACCUUCGGGCCUUGCGCGAUUGGAUAUGCCCAGGUGGGAUUAGCUUGUUGGUGAGGUAAUGGCUCACCAAGGCGACGAUCCCUAGCUGGUCUGAGAGGAUGAUCAGCCACACUGGAACUGAGACACGGUCCAGACUCCUACGGGAGGCAGCAGUGGGGAAUAUUGGACAAUGGGCGAGAGCCUGAUCCAGCCAUGCCGCGUGCAGGAAGACGGCCCUAUGGGUUGUAAACUGCUUUUGUACGGGAAGAACACCCCCUCGUGAGGGGGCUUGACGGUACCGUAAGAAUAAGGAUCGGCUAACUCCGUGCCAGCAGCCGG
rnacentral:rRNA from 1 species